GAUCCUGGCUCAGGAUGAACGCUAGCUACAGGCUUAACACAUGCAAGUCGAGGGGCAGCAGGGAUUUAGCUUGCUAAAUCCGCUGGCGACCGGCGCACGGGUGCGUAACGCGUAUCCAACUUUCCCGUUACUCAGGGAUAGCCUUCCGAAAGGGGAGAUUAAUACCUGAUGGUGUUCAAAUUCCGCAUGUUAUUUGAACUAAAGAUUCAUCGGUAACGGAUGGGGAUGCGUGACAUUAGGUAGUAGGCGGGGUAACGGCCCACCUAGUCUACGAUGUCUAGGGGUUCUGAGAGGAAGGUCCCCCACACUGGAACUGAGACACGGUCCAGACUCCUACGGGAGGCAGCAGUGAGGAAUAUUGGUCAAUGGCCGGAAGGCUGAACCAGCCAAGUAGCGUGAAGGAUGAAGGUUCUAUGGAUUGUAAACUUCUUUUAUACGGGAAUAAAACCACCUACGUGUAGGUGCUUGUAUGUACCGUAUGAAUAAGCAUCGGCUAACUCCGUG
rnacentral:rRNA from 1 species